rnacentral:rRNA from 1 species
UGCAAGUCGAACGGCGUCCCUCGGGGCGCAGUGGCGCACGGGUGCGUAACGCGUAUGCAACCUACCUUGAACUGGGGGAUAGCCCGGAGAAAUCCGGAUUAAUACCGCAUAACACCAUGUGAGGGCAUCUGAGUAUGGUUAAAGAUUCAUUGGUUCAAGAUGGGCAUGCGUGCCAUUAGCUAGUUGGUGGUGUAACGGACCACCAAGGCUACGAUGGCUAGGGGUUCUGAGAGGACGGUCCCCCACACUGGCACUGAGAUACGGGCCAGACUCCUACGGGAGGCAGCAGUAGGGAAUAUUGGGCAAUGGGCGGAAGCCUGACCCAGCCAUGCCGCGUGCAGGAUGAAGGCCUUCUGGGUUGUAAACUGCUUUUAUCAGGGAAGAAAACACCCAUGCGUGGGGAACUGACGGUACCUGAGGAAUAAGCACCGGCUAACUCCGUGCCAGCAGCCGCGGUAAUACGGAGGGUGCAAGCGUUGUCCGGAUUUAUUGGGUUUAAAGGGUGCGUAGGCGGCCCAUUAAGUCAGUGGUGAAAGCCCGGGGCUCAACCCCGGAACCGCCAUUGAUACUGGUGGGCUUGAGUAUGGACGAGGUUGGCGGAAUUGAGGGUGUAGCGGUGAAAUGCUUAGAUACCCUCAAGAACACCGAUUGCGUAGGCAGCUAACUAGGCCAUAACUGACGCUGAGGCACGAAAGCGUGGGGAGCGAACAGGAUUAGAUACCCUGGUAGUCCACGCCGUAAACGAUGAUUACUCGAUGUCGGCGACAGACUGUCGGCGUCU